UCGCAGAUCAGCACGCUGCGGUGAAUACGUUCCCGGGCCUUGUACACACCGCCCGUCACACCAUGGGAGUUGGCUUUACCCGAAGGCGUUUCGCUAACCGCAAGGAGGGGGAUGCCUAAGGUAGGACUGGUGACUGGGGUGAAGUCGUAACAAGGUAGCCGUACCGGAAGGUGUGGCUGGAUCACCUCCUUUU
rnacentral:rRNA from 1 species